AAGUCGUAACAAGGUUUCACCACCGUCGGAAGCUUUGUAAGUAUUCAAUCCGUCCUUUCCGGGCAGGUAACACUCGUCUGUUGCUGGAAGUGAACCUCCGUUGGAGUUAACCAGCUGCCAUAUGCGUCGUAACGCCUCGCAUGUGGCCCACAGAUCAAACACGAGUGGCCCUGGCCCCCGUCGAUUCUCUGGAAUCGGGGGCCUACGGGUUGAGAUAUGACCGUAGCAGCCUUGCAAAAGGCUGGAAGACUGGUUCCGUAGGUGAACCUGCGGAAGGAUCAUUAAUGAGUGAAAGGGUUCGCGCCCUCGGUGGCUUCACUGCCGCCAAACUCUAUACCCCGUGUCUACGUAUCUUUGUUGCUUUGGCGGGCCCUGAGGUCCUUCUCACGCCGGUCCCGGGCCCUUUGCCCGGGGGGGCGAGCGCCCGUCAGUAGCCCAUCUCAAACCCUUUGUAUCAGUGACGUCCGAGUAUUAUCAUAAUAAAUAAAAACUUUCAACAACGGAUCUCUUGGUUCUGGCAUCGAUGAGGAACGCAGCGAAAUGCGAUAAGUAAUGUGAAUUGCAGAAUUCAGUGAAUCAUCGAAUCUUUGAACGCACAUUGCGCCCCUCGGUAUUCCGGGGGGCAUGCCUGUUCGAGCGUCAUUGCACCCCUCAAGCGUAGCUUGGUAUUGGGUUCCCGCCGCUCCGGUGGGCCCGAAAGUCAGUGGCGGUCCGGUGCGACUUCGAGCGUAGUAAAUAUACCUCCCGCUUUGGAAGCCCACACUGCGACCGGCCAGAGCGCCCAACUUUUCAAUGAUUGACCUCGGAUCAGGUAGGGAUACCCGCUGAACUUAAGCAUAUCAAUAAGCGGAGGAAAAGAAACCAACAGGGAUUGCCUCAGUAACGGCGAGUGAAGCGGCAACAGCUCAAAUUUGAAAUCUGGCCUCUUCGGGGUCCGAGUUGUAAUUUGUAGAGGACGUUUCGGGAGCGGCGACGGUCUAAGUCCCUUGGAACAGGGCGUCAUAGAGGGUGAGAAUCCCGUAUGUGACCGGCGACCAACCCCAUGUGAAACCCCUUCGACGAGUCGAGUUGUUUGGGAAUGCAGCUCAAAAUGGGUGGUAAAUUUCAUCUAAAGCUAAAUACCGGCCAGAGACCGAUAGCGCACAAGUAGAGUGAUCGAAAGAUGAAAAGCACUUUGGAAAGAGAGUCAAACAGUACGUGAAAUUGUUGAAAGGGAAGCGCUGGCAACCAGACCUGUCCGCGGGCUUCAGCCCCCGUUCUCGGGGGUGUACUUGUCCGCGAUCAGGCCAGCAUCGGUUCGGGCGGUUGGAUAAAGGCCUUGGGAAUGUAGCUUCCUCCGGGAAGUCUUAUAGCCCUCGGCGCAAUGCGGCCAGCCCGGACCGAGGACCGCGCUUCGGCUAGGAUGCUGGCGUAAUGGUUGUCAGCGACC
rnacentral:rRNA from 1 species